GACGAACGCUGGCGGCGUGCUUAACACAUGCAAGUCGAACGAUGAACCCGGAGCUUGCUCUGGGGGAUUAGUGGCGAACGGGUGAGUAACACGUGAGUAACCUGCCCUGGACUCUGGGAUAAGCGUUGGAAACGACGUCUAAUACCGGAUAGGACCUUGGAUCGCAUGAUCUGGGGUGGAAAGUUUUUUCGGUCUGGGAUGGACUCGCGGCCUAUCAGCUUGUAGGUGAGGUAAUGGCUCACCAAGGCGUCGACGGGUAGCCGGCCUGAGAGGGUGACCGGCCACACUGGGACUGAGACACGGCCCAGACUCCUACGGGAGGCAGCAGUGGGGAAUAUUGCACAAUGGGCGAAAGCCUGAUGCAGCAACGCCGCGUGCGGGAUGACGGCCUUCGGGUUGUAAACCGCUUUUAGUAGGGAAGAAGGGCUUCGGCUUGACGGUACCUGCAGAAAAAGGACCGGCUAACUACGUG
rnacentral:rRNA from 1 species